GGGCCUGUGGCGCAGUUGGGAGCGCGCCUGGAUCGCACCCAGGAGGUCAGGGGUUCGAAUCCCCUCAGGUCCACCA
rnacentral:tRNA from 1 species